AGGCCCGGGAGCGGCAGCGGAACGGACUCCCAGACCUCAGGACGCGUGAGGUGCAGUGAGUCGCAGCCAUGUCCCUGGUUAACUCGUUCUUGAAGGGCGGCGGCGGCGGUGGCGGGGGAGGCGGGGGCCUGGGUGGGCGCCUGGGGAAUGUGCUUGGAGGCCUGAUCAGCGGGGCCGGGGGCGGCGGCGGCGGUGGUGGAGGCGGCGGCGGCGGCGGUGGAGGCGGUGGAACUGCCAUGCGCAUCCUAGGCGGAGUCAUCAGCGCCAACAGCGAGGCGGCUGCGCAAUACAACCCGGAGCCCCCGCCCCCACGCACACAUUACUCCAACAUUGAGGCCAACGAGAGUGAGGAGGUCCGGCAGUUCCGGAGACUCUUUGCCCAGCUGGCUGGAGAUGACAUGGAGGUCAGCGCCACAGAACUCAUGAACAUUCUCAAUAAGGUUGUGACACGACACCCUGAUCUGAAAACUGAUGGUUUUGGCAUUGACACGUGUCGCAGCAUGGUGGCCGUGAUGGAUAGCGACACCACAGGCAAGCUGGGCUUUGAGGAAUUCAAGUACUUGUGGAACAACAUCAAAAGGUGGCAGGCCAUAUACAAACAGUUUGACACUGACAGAUCAGGGACCAUUUGCAGUAGCGAACUCCCAGGGGCCUUUGAGGCGGCAGGGUUCCACCUGAAUGAGCAUCUCUAUAACAUGAUCAUCCGACGCUACUCAGAUGAAAGUGGGAACAUGGAUUUUGACAACUUCAUCAGCCGCUUGGUCAGGCUGGACGCCAUGUUCCGUGCCUUCAAAUCUCUUGACAAAGAUGGCACUGGACAAAUCCAGGUGAACAUCCAGGAGUGGCUGCAGCUGACUAUGUAUUCCUGAACUGGAGCCCCAGACCCACCCCCUCACCGCCUCGCUAUAGGAGUCACCUGGAGCCUCGGUCUCUCCCAGGGCCCAUCCUGCCUGCAGUCACAUCUUUGUGGGGCCUGCUGACCCACAGCUUUUGUUCUCCCAGUACUUGUUACCCAGCUUCUCAACAUCCAGGGCCCAAUAUGCCUGCCUGGAGUUUCCCUUGACUCUAGAACACUCUAACAAGCCCUGUCCAAGGGUCUCCCCACUCCCACCAGGCCCUGCACACACCCGCUCCAUAACCUCUCCCCUGUAUCUGUGCCAAGCCUAGCAUUUGUGAUGCCUCCAUGCCCAGAGGGCCCUCUCUCGGUUCUGGGAGGAUGACUCCAGUCCCUGCACACCCUGGCACACCCUUCAUAGUUGCCAGGCGGCCAAGCUCCAGACCGUGCCAGACCCAGGCGCCCCAGUGCCUUUGUCUAUAUUCUGCUCCUAGACUGCCAGGCCCAGGAGGAAAUAAACACGACCUGGUUGCUG